rnacentral:tRNA from 1 species
GGGGGAUUAGCUCAGUUGGUAGAGCACCUGCCUUGCAAGCAGGGGGUCAGCGGUUCGAAUCCGCUAUUCUCCACCA